rnacentral:rRNA from 1 species
AGCAGCCGCGGUAAUUCCAGCUCCAAUAGCGUAUAUUAAAGUUGUUGCAGUUAAAAAGCUCGUAGUUGAAUUUCGGGAUCAAUCUAUCGGUCGUGCAAUAGUACGUACUGAUUUUAUUGAUUCCUCCCUUCUGAUGAACUAUGAUGUCAUUAAUUUGGUGUCAUAGGGAAUCAGGACUGUUACUUUGAAAAAAUUAGAGUGUUUAAAGCAGGCUCACGCUUGAAUACAUUAGCAUGGAAUAACGAAAUAGGACGUUUGAUUCUAUUUUGUUAGUUUCUAGGAUCGACGUAAUGAUUAAUAGGGAUAGUUGGGGGCAUUAGUAUUCAAUUGUCAGAGGUGAAAUUCUUGGAUUUAUUGAAGACUAACUACUGCGAAAGCAUUUGCCAAGGAUGUUUUCAUUAAUCAAGAACGAAAGUUAGGGGAUCGAAGACGAUCAGAUACCGUCGUAGUCUUAACCAUAAACUAUGCCGACUAGGGAUCGGAUGAUGUUAAUUUUUUAAUGACUCAUUC